AUCGAGUUGACGAGUUUCAAAUAGGACGAAACGCGUGUCCUGGAU
rnacentral:hammerhead_ribozyme from 1 species